rnacentral:ncRNA from 1 species
CUUAUCAAGAGUGGUGGAGGGAACGGCCCUGUGAAGCCCGGCAACCUGCGUGAGCGCAAGGUGCCAAAUCCGGCGGUGAAACGAAAGAUGAG